AUUGAACGCUGGCGGCAUGCCUUACACAUGCAAGUCGAACGGUAACAGGUUAAGCUGACGAGUGGCGAACGGGUGAGUAAUGUAUCGGAACGUGCCCAGUCGUGGGGGAUAACUGCUCGAAAGAGCAGCUAAUACCGCAUACGACCUGAGGGUGAAAGCGGGGGAUCGCAAGACCUCGCGCGAUUGGAGCGGCCGAUAUCAGAUUAGGUAGUUGGUGAGGUAAAGGCUCACCAAGCCGACGAUCUGUAGCUGGUCUGAGAGGACGACCAGCCACACUGGGACUGAGACACGGCCCAGACUCCUACGGGAGGCAGCAGUGGGGAAUUUUGGACAAUGGGCGCAAGCCUGAUCCAGCCAUGCCGCGUGCGGGAAGAAGGCCUUCGGGUUGUAAACCGCUUUUGUCAGGGAAGAAAAGGUUCUGGCUAAUACCUGGGACUCAUGACGGUACCUGAAGAAUAAGCACGGGCUAACUACGUG
rnacentral:rRNA from 1 species